UACGGGGGGGGCAAGCGUUGUUCGGAAUUACUGGGCGUAAAGGGCUCGUAGGCGGUCAAUUAAGUCAAACGUGAAAUCCCUCGGCUUAACCGGGGAACUGCGCUUGAUACUGGAUGGCUUGAGAUUGGGAGAGGGAUGCGGAAUUCCAGGUGUAGCGGUGAAAUGCGUAGAUAUCGGGAGGAACACCGGUGGCGAAGGCGGCAUCCUGGACCAACACUGACGCUGAGGAGCGAAAGCCAGGGGAGCAAACGGG
rnacentral:rRNA from 1 species